ensembl:lncRNA
GUCCUUGUGCACCUCAGAAUAUUGAAGUGCAGUACAGCCUGUCUAUUGGCCAGCUGUCAUGGGACAGAAGUACAGGUGCUUCCAUGUACACGGCGCAGGCUGCCACUGAUCUGGGAUCAGUGCUGUCCUGCUCCACCAGUGACACCUCCUGUGCCCUUUAUAAUGUGUCCUGCAGUCAGACAUAUGACAUCACUGUGACAGCACACAACAAUGUCUGCCGAGGAGCUGCUGUGUCUGCAUCAACUACUCUAAACACAGAACCCUGCCCGCCACAGAACGUGCAAACCCAUCUGAAUUGCGCAAGUGAUGUAGGGACUGUGUCUUGGGAGGAGAGUUUGGGGGCAGUGGCAUAUGUGGCUUUCCUGGAGGGUCGCAAUGGACACAGCCUGUCCUGCUCCACAACUAGCUCCAGCUGCAGUGUGACGGGGUUGAUCUGUGGAACGCUUUACAGCACUCAAGUACGCGCCAUUGGAGAAACUUACAACAGCACAGACAGCGAAACAGUUCUCUUCACAUCAGGUUAGGCAUCUAAGAAAUGACAAAUUAGGAACCAUUUACAUUCUUUGGCAUGACAACAGGAAUUUGUUGCUCUCAUGUUUAAAUAACAGAGAAUUGUGCCGUCUGCUAAGUUGUUCGUCACUGCUGUGUCUUUGUGUCUAGCCCCCUGUCUACCAGAUUCCAGUUCAGUCACUGUUGACAUGAACUGUGAGAAUGCCACGGCAUUGUUCAGGUGGGCCUGGAGUGGCGGAGCUGCAUCCUAUGAGCUCACUGUUAUCAGUGACAAUGGCUACAUAGCCUCCUGCAUUUCCCAAGAGAAUUUCUGUAAUAUCAGCGAACUAGCCUGCGGACAGACUUACACAGUCAGGCUCACAGCAAUCAGUGAUGAAUGUCAGGUUACUCAGGAGACGGGAGUGACCUUCCAAACACGCCCCUGUGCUCCAUUGCAUGUGAACGUGGAUCUUCAGUGCAAUCCUAGCACAGCUGUAGUGACUUGGGAAGAAAGGGACGAUGUGCUAUACUAUCUUGUCAGUGCCAACCUCAGCACAGGAGAAGCAGAUAAAGUUUGUAACUCUACAACUGACAGCUGUGAAAUGAGUGGGUUGCAGUGUGGAGUGGAGUACGCCUUUACCAUCACUGCCUACAGUAGGCACUGCCAUAGUGACGCCAGCAGCACUGCACACAUUACAACAGAACCUUGUCAACCAAGUCAGCCGGCAGUUAUAGGAUCAUGUGAUAACAACACAGUUCUCUUGAACUGGAGUCACAGCAGAGGUGCAUCAAGUUACACAGUGCAUAUAACAAGCAACCUAGGAUUCGCAGACUCCUUCCAGACAUCUGAAUCUACGCUAACAGUGGAGCUUCUCUGCGGACAGACCUACACCUUCACAACACUGGGGGAAAAUGAUGUCUGUGAAAGCAUACCUAGCAAUCCUGCGCAUUUUACGACUGGUACGACCCAACACUCAUAAAAGCUGUAAUGAAAGGCCAAACUCACAAGUGAUAAAGUUGCUAAAGAAAAGACUUUUAGGUGUUUAUACAACAUUUGUAUCAAUCACUGAUUUUUUUCUGUAGCCCCAUGUGUGCCAUACCACAUUGAGACCUAUGCAGAGUGUGAAAAUAACCUUGGAGCUGUCAGCUGGGCUGGCAGUGAUGGCGCAGAUUUUUUCACCGCCAUUGCUGUAGGACAGGAUGGCCACACGCACGUCUGCCUAACAAAUACAACUUUCUGUGUCUGGGAGGAACUGCACUGUGGAGAAAUUUACUUUGUCCAAGUCACUGCCAAUGCCCAAAUCUGCAACAGUGGGUCCAGUGAUGGCACAGUCAUACACAUGGGUGAGUGUCUAAGAAAAAUGAAGGUAGAGUUAUAUGUAAGACAACAAUACUUGAAACUACUUUGCAGUUCUAUAGUUGUAAAGUGACUAUAUGCUUACAAAAGUGUUUUUUGGUAAUCUGUCAAAUGGCUGAUCGAGAUUGCCUGUAUUGUGUACAGCUCCAUGUGUCCCUCAAGAACUGGUGUCCUCUUUCGACUGUGACAUGAGAGUGGCUUCCCUCACCUGGGAAGCAAGUGAAAAUGCUGAGAUGUACCUGGUGUCUGCAGAAUCUGAUAGCGGUCACCGGGUGGAACUCUCAACAAAUGCCACAAGUGCACAAUUCUCUGAGUUCAACUGUGGUCAGCCGUACUAUCUGACUGUGCAAGCUGUGGGAAAUGUAUGUAGAAGCCACCCCAGUAAUGCUUCAGUAUUGCAGACAGGUUAGGACCCUCUCUCUCAUACACAAAGAUAUGAUGUCAAAAGAAGUGCAUAACUCAAAAGGACUUUCAAAAGGACAGCACAGGCUUGGCAUAACACUGUCCCACUUGUUGAAUGACUUGGAUUAUGUAAUUCUGUCUUCUUGCAGAGCCCUGUACUCCAGCAGCUGUCGUUGGCUUUAUGGACUGCAUCUCCAACAUUGCUACUGUAUCCUGGGUGU